UGAGCCCCGAGAUGGGCACUGAGACAAGGGCCCAGGCCCUACGGGGUGCAGCAGGCGCGAAUACUCCGCAAUGCGGGCAACCGCGACGGGGCCACCCCGAGUGCCGGGCGAAGAGCCCGGCUUUUGCCCGGUGUAAGGAGCCGGGCGAAUAAGCGGGGGGUAAGUCUGGUGUCAGCCGCCGCGGUAAUACCAGCCCCGCGAGUGGUCAGGGUGAUUACUGGGCUUAAAGCGCCCGUAGCCGGCCCGGCAAGUCGCUCCUGAAAUCCCCAGGCUCAACCUGGGGGCAGGGGGCGAUACUGCCGGGCUAGGGGGCGGGAGAGGCCGCCGGUACUCCGGGGGUAGGGGCGAAAUCCUAUAAUCCCCGGAGGACCACCAGUGGCGAAAGCGGGCGGCCAGA
rnacentral:rRNA from 1 species